rnacentral:rRNA from 1 species
CGGACGGGUGAGUAACACGUGGGCAACCUGCCUGUAAGACUGGGAUAACUCGUGGAAACGCGAGCUAAUACCGGAUAAUGCUCGUGGUUGCAUAAUCACAAGCUGAAAGGCGGCCUCUGGCUGCCACUUACAGAUGGGCCCGCGGCGCAUUAGCUAGUUGGUAAGGUAAGAGCUUACCAAGGCGACGAUGCGUAGCCGACCUGAGAGGGUGAUCGGCCACACUGGGACUGAGACACGGCCCAGACUCCUACGGGAGGCAGCAGUAGGGAAUCAUCCGCAAUGGACGAAAGUCUGACGGUGCAACGCCGCGUGAGUGAUGAAGGUUUUCGGAUCGUAAAACUCUGUUGUCAGGGAAGAACACGUGCUGUUCGAACAGGACAGCAUCUUGACGGUACCUGACCAGAAAGCCCCGGCUAACUACGUGCCAGCAGCCGCGGUAAUACGUAGGGGGCAAGCGUUGUCCGGAAUUAUUGGGCGUAAAGCGCGCGCAGGCGGUCUUUUAAGUCUGAUGUGAAAUCCCGCGGCUCAACCGCGGG